ensembl:lncRNA
CUGCUUUGAAAAUAGUAUUCCAUUGUCUUGAAUCCAGUGUUGCUAUUGAAAUGUCUGAUGGCAUUCUGAUUCGUCUUCUUUUUGUGAUCUGCUAUUCCUCUCUAGCAGCUUUAGAAUCUUUUUGUUGUCUCUAAUCUUAUUAAAGUUCAUUCUAAAAUGUCUAGGUGUGAACUUUUCCUUCUCACUCCUCUUUUCCUAUUUUACCAUUUAAAUCUUGAGUCGUCUUUCUUUAAUUCUGGCAAAUAUGUUUCCAUUAUUCCUUGAGAAGUCUCCUCAUUUCCAAUUUUUCCAGUUCUUUUGAGAAUUCUCUUAUUGAUGUCGGCGUUUCCUCCUCUAUUCUCCAUAUUCUUUAACUUCAAAAAGUCUUUUUCCACAGUUUUCUUCCCUGUGCCCACACGGAACAGUUCCUAACUCUGUGGUCUUCUAAUUUGCUGAUUCACUGCGGAUGCGUCCAUUUUACUAUUUAACCAAUCUGGUUUUUUCUUUAACUUCAACUAUUACAUUAUUCAUAAGUAAUAUUUCUCCUUUAGCCUAUUUUACGCUAUUUUACAACAUUAUAAUAUUGUCAGUAUAUUCCCUUGUCCCUUUCUACAGUGCUUUUAGGCUCUUAGGACUUUUUCCACUGUUCUAAUAACUCUGGGUUAAUGAAAACUGUAACCUCACUUUAUCCCUGUUGCCUCCAACCUGCUCUCUCUCUUUGCUAUAGGUUCUGGUCUGUCCUUCUAGUGUUUCAUUUUGCAAAUAUAAACAGUCUUUUGAAUGUGUUCAUAUGUAUCUCUUGCACAAAAGCCUUUGUAUCAUAGUUCUCUUUUUGCCUUGCACUUCUUCACUUAAUUUUUCGCUGGAGGUCACUCUAGAAUAGUAUACAGAUGAUGUCCUUCUGUUUUGUCAAUGCAUAAUUGAGUGGACAUACCAUAAUUGUUUUCAGCAAGGCCUCUUUUGGUUGACAUCUGGGUUAUUUCCAAAUUUUUACUGUUACAAAUUUUGUAACAAUGGCAAACUUAUUCAUACAUCUUUUCACCUAUAGGCCAGUGUUUUGGGGGGAUAGAUUCCAAAAGGUGAGACUACGGCUUCAGGAGAGGAAUUGCAUAUGUAAUUUUGCUAAAUAUUGCCACACUCUCCUUUAUAGGUGCUAUAAUAUUUUUAUUCCAAUCUGUUGCUACCGUAACGGUUUUUUUGGUCCACAUAAAACUGAAAUUUAAAUUUGUGUCAAUGGCUCCAAUUAUGAUAAAAAUAUUUCCUAAUAUCAUUUCCUGAUGUUUCCAUUCUACGAUUCCUCCUCUGUUGACAUCUCUUUUCUUUACUUUGAUUCUCCAGGUGCCACAGUGCUUGUUUCCCCUUCUCUACUCUUUCUCAGUUUUUACCCCAAUUUAUUCUGGUGUCUUGUCUUUCAUCAUUGACCUUGCUCAGAGUCAAUUAUUUUUUUCUUUUCUAUGUUACAUAUUUCAGGAUAUUUUUUUCCAUAGUUAAGAGAUUUGGUCAAAUAAUCACAAUUCUAUUAAUCAACAUUAUCAUUUCAUGUCAAAUAAGAAACUCAGACGGUGGUUUCAUUCAAAUUUUGAAGGUUGACAAGUUUGUUCAACUGAAUUAUACUGACAUAUUUUCUUAAGUCCUUUGAAUUAAGGCAUUGAUUUUUCCCCCAAAAGGAUGCAUUGGAUUUUCCUGCUUCAUAAUCUUUAUAAUUUGAGGUCAUCUCAUCCAUCCAUGACAUCUGUCACUUCAGUGGUACCCAAGCCAAGCAACAUGGGAAGUUUCCAAUCUUCUCCAAAAACUUCCCAAAGGCUGUUUUAAUUUUAUUUUAAAUUUGAAUAUGCCAGUGCCUGGACUAAACAAUUGUGCUGAUUCUUCUUUCUGUUCUCCCUAAAUCUGGUCUCUCUCACAUGUCUCAGAUGUGCUGCUUGCUACUUUUUUUUUCUUUUGCAGGGAACGAUUCACCCUGAGCUAACAUCUGUUGCCAGUCUUCCUCUUUUUUUUCUCUCCCCGAAGCCCCAGUGCAUGGUUGUACAUCCUAGUUUUACGUCCAUUUUUUCUUCUGUGUGAGCUGCUGCCACAGUAUGCAACUGACAGAUGGAUGGUGUGCUUCCGCAACUGGGAAACGAACCUGGGCUGCUGAAGUGGUGAGAGCACCGAACUUUAAACCACUAGGCCAUCAGGGCUGGCUCACUGUUUGCUACUUUUCCUUUGAAAGUCACCUUUCUUUCCUUUACCAUGACCCACACCAGUAUCACCAAAAUAUCGCCACAGGAAUUCCCAGUCAGAACAGUGAAAAUGGCUUCAUAUCCUCCAGAAUAUGGACUGUCUUGGAUUGGAAUCAGAGGCUUGCAAAACCAUGGAAACUCAGAAUCACAGAACCAUGGAGUCUUGGAACUGAGAGCACAGUGGAGCUGACAUAGUGAUCCAGCCACCAUGGAGAAGAGGUAUGAUUAUCCUGAAACGACAAUACUUUUAAGGAAGCCUAAGCGAGUCACCUGGAGAGGCUACAGGGAAGAGAACUGAAGUGUCCAAGUGACAGCCCCGCAUGAGAUCCCAGCCUUCAGCAGAGACCAACGGCCACCACGUUGGACAUUCCAAAUCGGUUGAACCUCCAGUGAGCCAUCUUGGACAUUCCAAACUGGUUGAGUCUUCAGAUAACGGCAGCCACAGCUCACACCACAUGGAGAAGAACUGACACUGAGGAUGAAGGAGUUAAAAUUUCCCUGGAUUAGGGUGAAACUGUGCCUUUGACCCACAAGGUUAACGUGGGAAACAAAAUAACCAAAGCAUCUGAGCUUGCCUUGCACAACAGCAGGAGGACCGCCGAUAAGAGAGGAAUUUGCUGACAGGCCUCCUCCUGAGUAAGCAUCUUGCAGGAACAUUGAGAAGCUAAAAAGACUGUCAACUUUACACAUCAAAGACUAAAAAUCCACCAUGCAACACAUAGAACAGACAGUCAUUCCUGUGCAGAGGACUCUUAGAACUUCUGCCCCCAAGGCCACAUGCUCCCCAACUCCUACCUAAAACCCUAAAUAAAAACCCUUGCUUGUACCUUUUUCAGGAGUUUGGGAUUAUAGUGUUAGCUGCCUCUUCUCCUUGCUCAGUGCUUUGCAAUAAAAUUCCUACUUUUUUCCACUACACCCAAUGUCAGAGAUUGGCUUACUACUGUGUAACUGGCGAGUGAACUAACUUCAGAUUUGAUAUCAGAUGACCCUUAUAUCAGGUGAACUACCCAGGUGAACCCAACCAACCCACAGACUCAUGAGCAGCGAUAAAUGGUUGUUGCUGAUUGAAGCCAGUGAGAAAGGCAGGUAGCAUAGGCCCUGAGCAAUUGGCCUAGUGGCUGUGUCUGGAUGCGUACAGGGGUGCUAAGGUGGGAGGCCCCAAGGCAGCAGCAGAAGAGACAGUGGGCACAGCCCCAGGAGAGAAGAGGGACUCCAUGUGGGACAGCACAGGAACCUGGGUGGGAGGCCAGCCUCCUGACCAUCUUUAGACCCUAAUAAUUACAGUAAUUAUUAACUCUCUGGCCUGAGCACUGGGACAGGUACUGCAGGCGGCCAGGUAGUAAAUAUUGUCAGUAAAUUAUUACUAAACAACAGCAUAUACAUCGACAUUGCAAUAAAGCGUAUCAGGAAGUUAUUAGAAUUCUUCAAAGCGUUCAGAAUCUCUGGUUUUGAAAAUUGCUGGGUCAUUGCAAAGCAAAUACCCACAGGUUUAUAAAUAGAAAUUAAAUUCAACAGAAAAACCCACUAUUUUUAUAUGAAGCUUAAAUUGCCAUUGUAUAAUUGCCCUUGCAUGACAUUUAAAAUUAAAUUCAGGCAGGAGACUCAUUUGUAUGAAGAGUUAAAUCUUUUUAGAAAAAGUGUUAAGUGAGACUCAUUAACUUUACAUGUACUCUAAUUUAUACUGCUAAAUAAUUAUCAGAAAUAUGUCCCAGUGUUGUCACAGUCUAUAAAAUACUCUUAACGGCUCCUGUAACCAUUACAUCAGCAGAAACAUUCUUCUCAAAAUUAAAAAUUAUCAAAAAUUGGCUGCAAUCUUGCAUUUGCCAAGGCAACUCCUUUUUUUUUUUUUAAAGAUUUUAUUUUUUCCUUUUUCUCCCCAAAGCCCCCCCAGUACAUAGUUGUAUAUUCUUCGUUGUGGGUCCCUCUAGUUGUGGCAUGUGGGACGCCGCCUCAGCGUGGUCUGAUGAGCAGUGCCAUGUCCGCGCCCAGGAUUCAAACCAACGAAACACUGGGCCGCCUGCAGCGGAGCGCGCGAACUUAACCACUCGGCCACGGGGCCAGCCCCGGCCAAGGCAACUCAUUUUGCUUUCAAUAUCCUAAUUUGAAAAUGAAAUUGCUAAAAGUGUAAAUUUUGAUGAAAUAAUAAAUAAAUUUGGAGAAAGGUGGACUACAGCUGUAUCUUAGCUGUACCUGAAGGAACAGUGACAGUGAUUUAUAUUAUUCGAAGGAAAAGUAACAGCAAUACCACUACCCUGGUUUUGAUCCCACUGCUCCAGCCACUCUGGCCUCAUUGCUGUUUAUGGAAAUGUCCCAAAAGCUUAGAACAAUGUCUGCCACAGAGUAGAUGUGCA